GACGAACGCUGGCGGCGUGCUUAACACAUGCGAGUCGAACGGAAAGGCCCUGCUUUUGUGGGGUGCUCGAGUGGCGAACGGGUGAGUAACACGUGAGUAACCUGCCCUUGACUUUGGGAUAACUUCAGGAAACUGGGGCUAAUACCGGAUAGGAGCUCCUGCUGCAUGGUGGGGGUUGGAAAGUUUCGGCGGUUGGGGAUGGACUCGCGGCCUAUCAGCUUGUUGGUGGGGUAGUGGCUUACCAAGGCUUUGACGGGUAGCCGGCCUGAGAGGGUGACCGGCCACAUUGGGACGGAGAUACGGCCCGGACUCCUACGGGAGGCAGCAGUGGGGAAGAUUGCACAAUGGGCGGAAGCCUGAUGCAGCAACGCCACGUGCGGGAUGACGGCCUUCGGGUUGUAAACCGCUUUCGCCUGUGACGAAGCGUGAGUGACGGUAAUGGGUAAAGAAGCACCGGCUAACUACGUG
rnacentral:rRNA from 1 species